AUGAGGAUGUGGACAGCUUGGUGUGUGGCCAUGUACUUCUUCGGAGCAAGAGCUAAAAUCACCCAAACUUCAAGUCUCGUGGUGAAAGAAGAUGAGAAUGCUACUCUGACAUGCAGUCAAAAUGAUAAUCACAAUUCUAUGUACUGGUAUCUGCAGCAGCCAGGGAAGGGGCUGCAACUGAUCUAUUAUUCCUUUGGUGCAAAUCAGGAGCAAGUGGGUGACAUUCACUUUGGAUACAAAGCUAAGCGGUCAAAACUGGAAGAUUUCUCUUUGGAUAUUUCGCCUGUGAAGAUGAACCAUUCAGCUGUCUAUUUCUGUGCAAGCAGUGUGGACACAACACUUCAAAGUCACUUGCUUUCUUUACAUAAACGCUCCUUUGCAGCACCUCCCCUCAGAAGGGUGUCGCUCUCAGCACAGGAGAAGG